rnacentral:rRNA from 1 species
AUUGAACGCUGGCGGCAGGCCUAACACAUGCAAGUCGAGCGGAGCGGCGGACGGGUGAGUAAUGCCUAGGAAUCUGCCUGGCAGUGGGGGAUAACGUCCGGAAACGGGCGCUAAUACCGCAUACUAUCAGAUGAGCCUAGGUCGGAUGAGCUAGUUGGUGGGGUAAAGGCCUACCAAGGCGACGAUCCGUAACUGGUCUGAGAGGAUGAUCAGUAACCAUGGAAGUGAGACACGGUCCAGACUCCUACGGGAGGCAGCAGUGGGGAAUAUGUGACAAUGGGCGAAAGCAGGAUCCAGCCAUGCCGCGUGUGUGAAGAAGGUCUUCGGAUUGUAAAGCACUUUAAGUUGGGAGGCGUUACCAACAGAUUAAGCACCGGCUAACUUCGUGCCAGCAGCCGCGGUAAUUG